UGGAAAAUGACACUUCUUUGACAAAGUGUGCUAGCCCACAUCGUGUUUUACCUAUCUUUCCAGGAUUUCUGUUGUGGAGUCAUAGCUUACGAAGAAUGUGGUGGAUUAUAUAAAGAUACAAGAAAAAGGAUAGCAAUGCAUUUUCAACAAAACUGAUAACUUGUAUGAAUAGGAGAGCAUAUUGAACAUGAAAAUCAACAUAUUAGCAUAAGAUGAAAUUUACAAUUGUGAUAAGGAAAGGAGGGAGAAGUUUUAUAGGUCAACCCAUGAGAGAUAAGCCUUAGAUAAUGGUAUUAGAGAUCUGUAUGCAUCCCUGACUCCGGUGAUUUCUGAGAACCGUCCUACCGUUCGGAGCAGAAGCCCACUACAUGUAACAUACCUUCCCGCUUGAUGUGUUUGAGCGUCGUGUAGCUGUACCCAGCAGAUCAAGCAGUUUAUGAUGGUUAUACAAGUGGCCCAGCAGUAAUGGGUUAAUGGAGUGCAUACUGAACAUGAAAUUCAGGUCUGCAGGUCAACCUAUAAGAUGGUAUUAGAAAUCUCUGUAUCCCUGACUCCGGUGAUUUUUGACAACUGUCCUACCGUUCGGAGCAGGAGCCCUACUACGUGUAACGUACCUUCCCGCUUGAUGUGUUUGAGCGUGUAGCUGUACCCAGCAGAUCAAGCAAUUUAUGAUGGUUUUACAAGUGAGCCAGCAGUAAUGGGUUAACAGAGUGCAUACUGAACAUAAAAUUCAGGUCUGCAGCUCAACCCAAGGAGUGAAAGGAAAACAUACUGAACAUGAAAAUGAUGUCUGCAGGUCAACCCAUGAGAGUUAAAACCCUUGGAUGAUGGUAUUAGAAAUCGCCUAUGCAUCACUGACUCAGGCGAUUUCUGACAACCAUCCUACCGUUUGGAGCAGGAGCCCACUACGUGUAACGUACCUUCCUGCUUGACAUGCUAUAGGAUGUAGCUAUACCCAGCAGAUCAAGCAAUUUAUGAUGGGUAUACAAGUGGCCCAGCAGUAAUGGGUUAAUGGAGUGCAAACUGAACAUGAAAUUCAGGUCUGCAGGUCAACCCAUGAGAGUUAACCUUUGGAUGAUGGUAUUAGAAAUCGCCUAUGCAUCACUGACUCAGGCGAUUUCUGACAACCAUCCUACCGUUUGGAGCAGGAGCCCACUACGUGUAACGUACCUUCCUGCUUGACAUGCUAUAGUGUGUAGCUAUACCCAGCAGAUCAAGCAGUUUAUGAUGGGUAUACAAGUGGCCCAGCAGUAAUGGGUUAAUGGAGUGCAACCUGAACAUGAAAUUCAGGUCUGCAGGAGCCCACUACGUGUAACGUACCUUCCUGCUUGACAUGCUAUAGGAUGUAGCUAUACCCAGUAGAUCAAGCAGUUUAUGAUGGGUAUACAAGUGGCCCAGCAGUAAUGGGUUAAUGGAGUGCAAACUGAACAUGAAAUUCAGGUCUGCAGGUCAACCCGUGAGAGUUAACCCUUAGCCGUGGGGUGGCAUGUACAUACAUGCCAUAGCAUUCCUGGACUAUAUUCUGGGUGGCAUGUGUAUAUAAACACCAUUGUGCACCAAUCCCGUUCUCCAGGGGCAUGUAUGGUCAUGCCACACAUGCUAGGGUGAUAUCACGAGCCCCUGGCAGCAGGGCCUAGGCCACAACCCAGGGGAGAGGGCUUUGCGUAUCGUGGAAUCCCCUGAUGGUGUUGGGUUAAAGGAGAGCAUACCAACAAUGCAAAUCAGGUCUACAGCUCAACCCAAGGAGUGAAAGGAAAACAUACUGAACAUAAAAAUGAUGUCUGCAGGUCAACCCAUGAGAGUUAAAACCCUUGCAUGAUGGUAUUAGAAAUCGCCUAUGCAUCACUGACUCAGGCGAUUUCUGACAACCAUCCUACCGUUUGGAGCAGGAGCCCACUACGUGUAACGUACCUUCCCACUUGACAUGCUAUAGCGUGUAGCUAUACCCAGCAGAUCAAGCAAUUUAUGAUGGGUAUACAAGUGGCCCAGCAGUAAUGGGUUAAUGGAGUGCAAACUGAACAUGAAAUUCAGGUCUGCAGCUCAACCCAAGGAGUGAAAGGAAAACAUACUGAACAUGAAAAUGUCUGCAGGUCAACCUAUGAGAUGGUAUUAGAAAUCGCCUAUGCAUCACUGACUCAGGCGAUUUCUGACAACCGUCCUACCGUUCAGGAGCAGGAGCCCACUACGUGUAACGUACCUUCCCGCUUGACAUGCUAUAGUGUGUAGCUAUACCCAGCAGAUCAAGCAGUUUAUGAUGGUUAUACAAGUGGCCCAGCAGUUAUGCGUUAAUGGAGUGCAUACUGAACAUGAAAUUCAGGUCUGCAGCUCAACCCAAGGAGUGAAAGGAAAAUACUGAACAUGAAAAUGUCUGCAGGUCAACCCGUGAGAGUUAACCCUUAGCCGUGGGGUGGCAUGUACAUACAUGCCAUAGCAUUCCUGGACUAUAUUCUGGGUGGCAUGUGUAUAUAAACACCAUUGUGCACCAAUCCCGUUCUCCAGGGGCAUGUAUGGUCAUGCCACACAUGCUAGGGUGAUAUCACGAGCCCCUGGCAGCAGGGCCUAGGCCACAACCCAGGGGAGAGGGCUUUGCGUAUCGUGGAAUCCCCUGAUGGUGUUGGGUUAAAGGAGAGCAUACCAACAAUGCAAAUCAGGUCUACAGGUUAAACCUAGAAGUGAGAGGGAGUGCAAUGAGAGUGGACUUCCACAGAUAAAGCCAGUAAUGUGAUAGUGGAACAGCAAUGGACUAGAAUAGGUGAACCCAUCAGAGUGCAUACUGAUCCUGAGAAUUGGUAGUUUUGCAUGAGAUAAAACCUGCAAAUGUGAUCUGGUACAAGGAGGAGAGAUAAUGUAUCAAUUGCUUUAUACUGAUGUAAGCUAAAAAUGGUACUCGGAUCAAGAACAGUGGGCUUUCAAAGAGUGGCUCCUGAAUAAUGUUGCUCAGUACUUCCAAGUUGAAGACCACCACCACCACAUUGUCUCGAUACAGAAGUACGUCAUUAUGGUGCACAUAAAGCUUGAAAUAUCCUUGAUUAGAAGAAAGUGUAUUCCAGUCAACUUCAGUAAAUACAUCCAUACUUGAUGACAUUGCUAAUAAAGUUAGCCUCUGAAA
rnacentral:lncRNA from 1 species